rnacentral:rRNA from 1 species
AACGAACGCUGGCGGCAGGCUUAACACAUGCAAGUCGAGCGCCCCGCAAGGGGAGCGGCAGACGGGUGAGUAACGCGUGGGAAUCUACCCAUCUCGACGUAAUAACGCAUGGAAACGUGUCAUAAUACAGUAUACGUCAUUCGGGAGAAAGAUUUAUCGGAGAUGGAUGAGCCCGCGUUGGAUUAGCUAGUUGGUGGGGUAAAGGCCUACCAAGGCGACGAUCCAUAGCUGGUCUGGGAGGAUGAUCAGCCACACUGGGACUGAGACACGGCCCAGACUCCUACGGGAGGCAGCAGUGGGGAAUAUUGGACAAUGGGCGCAAGCCUGAUCCAGCCAUGCCGCGUGAGUGAUGAAGGCCCUAGGGUUGUAAAGCUCUUUCACCGGUGAAGAUAAUGACGGUAACCGGAGAAGAAGUCCCGGCUAACUUCGUGCCAGCCGCCGCCGUAAAAC